rnacentral:piRNA from 1 species
UGUUACGAUUACAUGCUCGAAAUGAAGGC